rnacentral:rRNA from 1 species
CAGCAGCCGCGGUAAUACGAAGGGUGCAAGCGUUACUCGGAAUUACUGGGCGUAAAGCGUGCGUAGGUGGUGGUUUAAGUCCGUUGUGAAAGCCCUGGGCUCAACCUGGGAAUUGCAGUGGAUACUGGGUCACUAGAGUGUGGUAGAGGAUAGUGGAAUUUCCGGUGUAGCAGUGAAAUGCGUAGAGAUUGGAAGGAACAUCUGUGGCGAAGGCGACUAUCUGGGCCAACACUGACACUGAGGCACGAAAGCGUGGGGAGCAAACAGGAUUAGAGACCCGCGUAGUCCCUGUCUCUUAUAC